rnacentral:piRNA from 1 species
ACAAAAGGGAUUGUGGGAGAAAGGCUUC